UCCUGGUCAGUUCAAUUGAUAGAACGCUCCACUGGAAAUGAAGAGGUUCCGGGUUCGAUACUCGAACCAGGCG
rnacentral:tRNA from 1 species